UCGUCAGCUUUAUCUAGUUCCUUUUCGGCUUUUAAACUUGUUCAACAAUUCAUUUGCGCAUCCACGAUGUAGAGAAGAUAUGUCUUCUCUACAUCGUGGGUGCAUAGUUAUUUGUGGUGUUAUAGUGAGUGGUGAUACUCGUGCAGAUAGCAGUUGUAACAGUUACAGCUUUAAAUUGAUUUCAUGUUUUCAACAUGGUUGGUCGUUGGUGUCAUCAUGGAGAACUCUGAUAGAUUCUUUGGUCUCCAUUUCUGUGAGUGAUUCAUCACCAUUGUAGACUUCACUUGCUCAUCAGUUUAACUAUCACCAUAUUUUGGUGGUUACACUAUAAUCUUCAGUUGCUACACAAAAUCCAAUAUCGCUGUUUAUAAUUUCUUCCACAGGCUCAAUUGUUUCUUUUUCAUCGCUUUACCAUUGGUAUUUUCCAAAGCUUCUGAUUCUUGUUUAUGCUCAUCUAGAGAUGCAUCAAUCGUCGGCUGCUCAGUUUUUCCAGGAACUUUAAGAAGUUCUUUUGUAAUUUCAGAUUUUUUGUCUAUGGAUAGUCAAGGUGUAAUAGAAUAUGGAUGAACAUUUAAUUGUGACCAUACAAUCAAAGCCAUAGUUCAUAUUCUAAUUUGAACAGAUCAUCAACUCAAAGAGCUCAAGAAGAUCUUAUUUUCAGCAUUGCAACAUCUUACCAAAGUUCACAUUGAACGAAAUAAGUUUCAUAGCAAGUUAUUUAAGUUCCGCAAAACCUCCUAACAUUGUUGAUGCAUCAUUUUUUUUUUAUUGGAAAAUGAACUCUGUCAUAAAAAGUGUACUUGAAAACUGCUGUACAAAAUGAACCUGGCGUUUGUCAAUGUGCGUGGCCUAUGUUGAAAAUACUAUUGUCAACUUAUUAUAUAAAUAUGAAAAAGUAAUAAAAAAUAUGUAUUAUGAUAA